rnacentral:rRNA from 1 species
GUCGGGAAUUUUGGGCAAUGGGCGAAAGCCUGACCCAGCAACGCCGCGUGAAGGAUGAAGUAUUUCGGUAUGUAAACUUCGAAAGAAUGGGAAGAAUCAAUGACGGUACCAUUUAUAAGGUCCGGCUAACUACGUGCCAGCAGCCGCGGUAAUACGUAGGGACCAAGCGUUGUUCGGAUUUACUGGGCGUAAAGGGCGCGUAGGCGGCAGUUCAAGUCAGCUGUGAAAUCUCCGAGCUUAACUCGGAACGGUCAGCUGAUACUGUUUUGCUAGAGUGCAGAAGGGGCAAUCGGAAUUCUUGGUGUAGCGGUGAAAUGCGUAGAUAUCAAGAGGAACACCUGAGGUGAAGACGGGUUGCUGGGCUGACACUGACGCUGAGGCGCGAAAGCUAGGGUAGCAAACGGGAUUAGAAACCCUAGUAGUCC